ensembl:misc_RNA Metazoa_SRP Metazoan signal recognition particle RNA
GCCGGGUGUGGUGGCGGGCACCUGUAGUCCCAGCUACUCGGGAGACUGAGGCAGGAGAAUGGCGUGCACCUGGGAGGUGGAGCUUGCUGUGAGCUGAGAUCGCGCCACUGCACUCUAGCCUGGGCGACAGAGUGAGACUCCAUCUCAAAAAAAAAAAAAAAAAAAAUGCUAUGAAUCUUUUUUUUUUGAGAUGGAGCCUCACACUGCCACCCAGGCUGGAGUGCAGUGGCCGGAUCUCAGCUCACUGCAAGCUCCGCCUCCCAGGUUUACGCCAUUCUCCUGCCUCAG